AUUGAACGCUGGCGGCAUGCCUUACACAUGCAAGUCGAACGGUAACAGGUCUUCGGAUGCUGACGAGUGGCAAACGGGUGAGUAAUACAUCGGAACGUGCCCGAUCGUGGGGGAUAACGAAGCGAAAGCUUUGCUAAUACCGCAUAAGAUCUAAGGAUGAAAGCAGGGGACCGCAAGGCCUUGCGCGAACGGAGCGGCCGAUGGCAGAUUAGGUAGUUGGUGGGAUAAAAGCUUACCAAGCCGACGAUCUGUAGCUGGUCUGAGAGGACGACCAGCCAAACUGGGACUGAGACACGGCCCAGACUCCUACGGGAGGCAGCAGUGGGGAAUUUUGGACAAUGGGCGAAAGCCUGAUCCAGCCAUGCCGCGUGCAGGAUGAAGGCCUUCGGGUUGUAAACUGCUUUUGUACGGAACGAAAAGACUCUGGUUAAUACCUGGGGUCCAUGACGGUACCGUAAGAAUAAGCACCGGCUAACUACGUGCCAGCCGCCGCCGUAAGAC
rnacentral:rRNA from 1 species